GAGAGGGGAGCCAUCAUCGUCGAUGUGGGGAGGCACGAGGACUCCCCAGGUGGUGUUGGGGAGGAUGUAGGGACCUUCUUCGAAGUCUCCGUUCUUCACCACAUUCUUGUUCGUAAUCGUCGGUGGGUGAAGAACCUUGACGGCGACUGAGUCGAUCAGCGGACCGCACGCAGGAUCCUCAGUAGUCCCAAGGUUAUGUAUCACAAUAUCAGCUACCGAGCUCUUGGCUGUCCAAGCCCAAGCAUACGAGUCCCACCCGUUGCUGCUAUACAUGGUCUGCAUAGGAAUGACAUCUGCAUCCGGCAUUGCCGAAAUAUUGAGCUGCUCGUCUUGUGCACACGUCCGGACAGCGGUGAAGGUCAGAGCAUAGACUGUGCCGACAGUCACUGCGAGGCGUUGCUUGAUGGAGGCCUCGUUGCCGAGUCUGACAGCGGCAGAGCCCUCGGGGACGAUGAGUAGCAUGUCUCCUUGUUUUUGGCCGGAGCGGAUGUAUUCGAUGAAGCCGGAGGUGUGCCAUUGGGGGAUUGAGUCGCUACCAAUGACCUUGGUGCCAUUCAUUUGGGAGGCCCUGGGGCCGAGUUCGAAGUUGCCGUUCUGAAGCAAGCCAUCCUUGAAGGCCGCUACAAACUGAACUGUGGCGACCAGCAGCAACAUCGCCGUCGCACACGCUCUUGCCAUCUCAGCGAGGGAGGGGGAGAGAGAGUGUGUGGCCG
rnacentral:misc_RNA from 1 species